GAUGAACGCUGGCGGCGUGCCUAAUACAUGCAAGUCGAGCGAACGGACGAGAAGCUUGCUUCUCUGAUGUUAGCGGCGGACGGGUGAGUAACACGUGGAUAACCUACCUAUAAGACUGGGAUAACUUCGGGAAACCGUAGCUAAUACCGGAUAAUAUUUUGAACCGCAUGGUUCAAAAGUGAAAGACGGUCUUGCUGUCACUUAUAGAUGGAUCCGCGCUGCAUUAGCUAGUUGGUAAGGUAACGGCUUACCAAGGCAACGAUGCAUAGCCGACCUGAGAGGGUGAUCGGCCCCACUGGAACUGAGACACGGUCCAGACUCCUACGGGAGGCAGCAGUAGGGAAGCUUCCGCAAUGGGCGAAAGCCUGACGGAGCAACGCCGCGUGAGUGAUGAAGGUCUUCGGAUCGUAAAACUCUGUUAUUAGGGAAGAACAUAUGUGUAAGUAACUGUGCACAUCUUGACGGUACCUAAUCAGAAAGCCACGGCUAACUACGUG
rnacentral:rRNA from 1 species